ACAGAGGAACCAGAACGGCAGCUGGGGGUUUAAGGGAAUUAAAUACGGGCUUGGAGAGAAGCAGGAACGGCAGGGGAUUAUACCGUUCACCGGAGAGAGAAAGAAAGAGAGAGAGAGAGAGAGAGUGAGACAGAGAUGUGUAUGAUUGAAGUGUGCGGAGUUUUUGUUUGCAACCAUAAUGUAAAACAUCUCGAGCAAUGCGCGAAUUAAGGUGAUAUUUAUCAGUGUGUUGAUAUAAAUCUGGAUAUUUUUGAAGUUAUCAAGUUUACAGUAAACUCUGAAAGUGUUUAGCAGAAGUGAACAGGUGUAGUGCAGUUUCGUCAUCGAUCAAUUCCUAUUUAAAAUUAUGGUGCAGCGAAUCAAAUAAACGAUUCGACCUCACGUGAUUUAAAAACAUUAAAUGGGUGUAAAAUCACAAGUGACGGUUUUAGACGAAGGUCAAGCUAAAUUCAUUUUGUAUGAGGUAAAUUACAUUUUAAAUUCUGACUUGAACUUCAAAUAACGAGAGAAAAAAGAUAUUGUUCAAUGGUCAUUUCUUGUCAGGGUCUCUUUUUUAAUUAAUUCAACAUAUGCCAGAUGUCAGAUGAAGGAAAACUCGUAAAGGUCAUCUUAUUUGAGGGUUAAUCACGGCUGGUUUAAUUAAUUCAACAUACCUGGGCUAAAACAGAAGAAAGACCUCCAAACGACCUGAAAGAGACACGCGUUGACCUUCAGUGAAGCCCUGAUGCGCGCGCGGUGAUGCACCUGCCAACUACAUUAUCAAGAAAAUUACUCUUUCUUUUGUCAAAAUAGUAACUGCUAAAUAAAAUAAUAAAAACACAAGCACAAUUGAAUUACAAAUCCCUGAGAGGAUGCCAAAAUUCAUUUAUAAAAUAUAUAUCGUUUAGCACUCAUUGUUUUCCUUUUAUAGACAAGAGUUUUUGUAAGUUGUAAUUUUCAAAUCAUGGAACAAAUGUAAAUGUGUUUUUAACUGGUUUGCUUCGUUUGUAUCUCAAAAUAGGCCAGUGAUCUAUGAAUAUGAUCUAUGAAAAAUACAAAAACAAAACAAAAAGGAAUUAAUAACCCGAAAUCGUCCUCAAUAAUUCACACUGAGAAGAGAAUAAAUAAGAAAUCAGGGGUAAAAGAAAAAAAAAGGCUCUUGUUCCUUGAGCACAUUGUUUGAAAUCGAAUAUAUAAGCAUUAGAGAAAAACAAUAUCUAACAAACACAGCAUUAAACAGCAUUAAAUCAUGUUAUUCUGCAUAUUUUAUUUAAUCAUUUUCGACAGAUUUAAGUAUUUAAAAUUGGGUUUUCUUUCUUUCUAAACGCUCUCACCGGUUUUUUUUUUUUUUUUUUUUAAUUGAAAACAUUUUUCAUUGAACACAAGAUGCAAAGAGUGCUACUGGGGUAUAAAGUCCGUAUCUCGGUGCUUUUUGUAUAUAUAUAUAUAUAUAAAAAAAAUAUAUAUAUUAGACUGUUUUUAAAAUGCUAAAUCCAUGAAUAAAUAAGACUUUUUCUAUUUUUUUCCAAACUCUCGAGUGCCUUGGCCUCAUAUGUUUUUUACAAUGCUAACAUUUUUUCAUUAAGCCAAUAUAAAAUUAAUUCAUACUUAAAUAAUUAUUCGUAACUAAUAUUCGUUGGGGCAUUAAAAAUGAAACCACCGUCAUAAACACAAACUAGCGUCAGAGCUUUCUGAACCUUAGCUUUAAAACAUAAUUUGAAUGAAUUGAUCACAUUAUUUGCAGUUCACAGUAUUCUUUAAUAUAAUAAUAAUAAAUUAAUUAAUAAUAUCAAUAUCAAUUCAUAAAAAAAAUCUAAGUGUAAUUUAUUAAUUGUUAAUUGCAAAUAUUGUUCAUAUAUUAUUGAGUUUAAAUCAACAUUAAUAAGUGUAAUAUCAUAUUAAACAGUCUGAAAUCACUUCGUGUAUUAUGAGCAAUUAUUGCUCUUUUAAUUUAAUAUAUGCUCCAUUUAAUAAAUAAGACAUCACAAUGCUAAAACAUUUUGUAAGUACAAACAUCAGCUCGGUGAUUUAUACAGUCUGUCUGACACCACAUCUCAAAAAAACAAAACAACAAAUGUGUACUAAUUCAGUGUAAACGAAAUUAUACCACAAAAUGUUAAUUCGUUUUAAUUAUACAGUUUUCAUUAAUUAACGAAGAUCGUUUGGUCCAUGUGACAUAUACUGAAGAAAAAAAAAAAAGUAGUGUAAGUACUGGAUUGUGUAGAAUUAAAAUAUCAUAUUUCAACAGGGAAAAUCUUACAAUUUGCCAUUACAUUUCGUCAUUAUUACGGACAUCAUUUUUUUUUUAAAGAAAAAAAGAAUCCAAUUUUAGACCGACAUCAACUGAAACUUCCUCGCAUCAGAAUAUAAGAAUGGAAAAAUGGUCUCGAAUUUCUCUCUUUAAAAAAACUGAACACUAAUGCACGUGAUUACAAAUAAUAAUUAUCAUCAAUUUCCCCUAACAUUUUUGAACGAUAGGAUCGCAAGUAAAUGUUGGCCGGAAGGAAGAACACACGAUGUGCGCAGGUGCGUUUCACGCGGACUUCAGAAGAGACAAAAAUCCUCUAUAGACAAGUAUAUAAACUGAUAUUAUAAAUUACACUUAUACUUUAUAUUUGUAUCUAACAGGUAGACUAAACAUUGAGUCCUUGAUUUUACCACCAAACCUUCAAUCAAAGAGAAAGAGAGGAAAGAAAGAAAGAAAGAAAAGGCGUUACAACAGCCAGUGCUUCACUAAAUAGUGUAUAAUAAAACAAUAAAGUACACACAUUUACAUUCAAAUGUAAAAAGUAUUAUUGAAAUGAAUACAUGAUUUAGAUCUAUAUGCACCUAAAAAAGCAAAUUCUUUUUUCCUUGCGUUUGUAGUAAUGAAUUUUAGUAGGCUAAUUGAUUCAAUGCUUUUCAAAUUUUAGAUUAUUAUUAUAAAAGACAAUUUAAGAGGAAAACCAGCCACAGUGUGGUGUACACUUCCCCAAAAUGAUUUGAAUUCCGUUCAGAAAUCAUUUAUAAUAUAAGUAUAAUCUCCUAAAACUAGGACAAGUGUUCUAGCAAAUUGCAUGCUAUUUAACCCUGGCUUAUUUUAUGUGCACAUUUAAGACGUAUCCUAACCAAAGAGUCAUAAAGUUUCUCAUACAGACUCUCAAACCUUUUUUCCUUAAGUAGAUAACUCUGCUUCAUUCACUCUUCCUUACACUUCAAACAGGAGGGUCAUUUAUUUUGCACAGUCCAGAUUGAAUUUAUACUGCCUGUCCCUUGGCUUGGCUUUAAUUUCUGACUGCCUGUCUUUAAUUUAGCAGGGCUACUCAGAGCUGAAAAGACAGCCAUGAAGCUCACAUUCAGCUAAGCAACGGCCGGGGCCAGGAAUGCUGACCUUGGCGGGUGAACCGGGCCAAAGACUGAGACCACACGGUUAAUCUGGCAAAGGCUUGAGAAGACUUUGAAAGCGUUUUGAAAAGUGGAAUGAAGCAGAGGCUGAUAAGAUGUGGUAAGAUCUGACUACUGAAGGUAAAGCUUUACAAUAUUUUGGAUUUUACUGUAAUGAUAAAGAUUUUGCAAGUUUAUCAUGGUCUAAAGCAAACUAUGUAAUACUUUUUUGUUGUGCCAUAUAAUCUACCAUAUCAACAUGUGUGGCUAAUGCAUCAUAGAAGAGGGAUAUAAAACCACAAUGGUGUAAUAAGAUUUAAGUCCCUUGGCCUGACCUGACCAAGUCGGGUAGAUCACGUAUGCUCAGCGAUGAGAUAAACUACGGAAAGCUGCACAGUGAUUGGUCACCUGUGGUGAGGCUCCAUCGGGAUUGGAGCAGAAUGCAGCUCUCACACCUUAUCAGGUUGGUGCACAGCAUUGCUGCAGGAGAGCGAGUCUCAGGAGGAAACGCCUGCAAGGGCUGCGCUUAUCUUACACCAGCAAGAGGCCUUCAUGCCUCUGAUUAAGAGAGAGAGACCAACUCAUGUGUACCUUCAGGAGACUAUGUUUUGGGGGGACAAUAUAAUGUAUGUCUAAAAAAUAUUAUAUGUUUUUACUCAGUCAAAACCCAGUUUUGAUUAGCAGGAGAUUAUUAGCAUUUACAAAAGUAAAAUAUAUUUAAACUUUAUAUAUAUAUAUAUAUAUAUAUAACACUGUUAAAAAAUUGCCAGGAAUUAAAGAGUAUUAUUUUACAAUAAAUUACUGUCAUUUUCUUACGAAUUACUGUUAAUCAACAGCAAAAUGAUGCUGACUUCACAGUAAUUUACUGCUCUACUGUUAAUUCACAUUUUAAAGUUGUCUUGCAUGAAACUGCAAGAAAUUAUAUUGUUUACCACUGUAAUUGGUUUGUGGUCACCAUAACGAUGAUCAGUGUUCCAUUUGAUUGGGAUCUUUGACCCUGUAUUUGCAUUAAAAUUUCUGUUCUAGCCAAGUCAGAAGGGUGACAGAUGAAAACAUGUGUUAAAACAAUGACAAACUAGAAUAUAAAAUAAGAUAAUUGGCUGAUUUUAAGUUAAUCAAACUAUACUAUUAUUAACGUUAUUUCAGCAUGAAGAUUAACCAAUAUCUUACUUCAAAUUCAUAACUGUUUGUAGAUGGAUAUUUCACAAUAGUAAAGCAGCUGCUGAGAUUUAUCUUUGAAAGGUGUGACAUUGUUGUGCAACACAAGAUUAUUUUUUCUUCCAUUACCUAAUGAUGCACAGACAUCUAUACUCGACAUACAAAACACAACAAUGGUGAUGUUCAACAAAUAAUAAUAAUAAAAAAAGAUCAAUUCUGAACAUUAUGAAAUACACAACACAAACUGCUAAAAGUGAAUCAGAAAUAAAGUUCAGCA